UGUUUGUGGUGUGGACAAUCUCAAAGAAGAGCCUUGAAGCGAACCCAUGCAUGAUAGAGGUUUUCAUUAGGCUUUUGUUUAAAGCAUACUAUCUCACUGUGAAGUCU
rfam:Capsicum annuum cultivar Zunla-1 chromosome 12, whole genome shotgun sequence